rnacentral:tRNA from 1 species
GCUCAGUUGGUUAAGCAUCUGACUCUUGAUUUCAGCUCAGGUCAUGAUCUCACAGCUCGUGAGUUCGAGCCUCACAUUGGGCU